ensembl:lncRNA SORCS3-AS1 SORCS3 antisense RNA 1
GAGACAAGCCCUAUCAGCACAUCCCAGAAAAUGGGAAACCGAAUCACCCAGGGGAUGGCAAGGAAUGACCAGAGGGAAAGUUCCAGUUCUGUCCAACAUGCACUACCAGCCCCAUUUUGGAAAAGAACAGAUUUAAUAGACCUCACCAAGACAAGAAUUGUUUUUCGUCAAAGGAAAUCAAAGGAACAAACAAGAGGCAGUGACCACCAGAGACUUCACCUUUUGGUGUAGGAAAACCCAAGCAGACAGUGUCUACAUCCAUCAAAGCCCAAUGUAUUAAAUAUUUAUUGAAUAAGAACCCACGGACUCUUCCUUACCAGAGCCUUAGAUUGCCAUGUGCGUCUGAUUGCUCCAAAGACAAGACUAUUGUGAUUUUGGCCCCAUAUGCAUUUUAGAGUAACAAGUCUUACCAGAAAAAUAAUAGCCAGCCCCAGCUUAAUUCCUAGAGAAACUCAAACCACCUUGUUAAGAACAAUCCCAGAGGAGAGUUUAUACUAAGGAGCACUACACAAUGCUGUUUGCCAUCUCUGGGCCCUCUAAAAGCAAGCCCAACCUUGGAAAAGGAAUGUCUGCCACCAGGGAAACGUGGCUGCACUGCUGGAGGAAGAACUUGAUCAUGACGGGCAAUGCUUGGAAGUAAAGAAGCAUCUGCUGCCUUGGAAAGGCUUGGUCAGGGCAAUCAUUGUCACAGGCCAUGUUUUUUCUCUGACUAUCUCUUGGAAUUUCAGAGUGACUAAGUGAUUACUACAAUUAGAGCAAGAGGCGGUGUCUUCCAGAAGUCGGUGUGGGCAGCACCAAACCAUCCACCAUGCAUCAGAGAAAAGCCAGACAGCUGGAAGGCUCUAUUCCCAGGCCACUCUCCAGUCCUCAAACAUGUCACCAUCUCUCAUGCCUCCUUACUGGGCCCAUGCUGUCUCCUUGACCAGGAAUGUCCUCCACCCCGAUCCCAUCCCCAUAGCCCCCUUCACUGUAAGAUCUGGGCCCAGCAAAUUGCCCAGCUCCUCUUCUCUGAAUGCUUCUUUAAUGUCUCUGAGAAGGAGUUCCUUCCUCCUUUACUGUCCAUCUCUUCCACCACAUGAGGGGUUUGGGGGAGGUCUUUGAAGACAAGGGACCCUUCCUCAUUCAUAUUUGAAUACUGAGCCCAAGCACACGCCCCUAGCAUCUGCAAUACACACAUGUCAAGGUGAAUGGGGAGAUAGAUGCCAAGAUCCUUGAGCGCUGCAAAUCUUCACUGCCAACUUCAACUACUCCAAAAUAAAGUCAAAAUUUUAAAAGUAA